rnacentral:rRNA from 1 species
UACGUAGGGACCAAGCGUUGUUCGGAUUUACUGGGCGUAAAGGGCGCGUAGGCGGCAAUUCAAGUCAUCUGUGAAAUCUCCGGGCUUAACCCGGAAAGGUCAGCUGAUACUGCAGGGCUAGAGUGCAGAAGGGGCAACUGGAAUUCUCGGUGUAGCGGUGAAAUGCGUAGAUAUCGAGAGGAACACCUGCGGCGAAGGCGGGUUGCUGGGCUGACACUGACGCUGACAGCGCGAAAGCUAGGGGAGCGAAGCGGG